CAGUGUUACAGCUCUUUUAGAAUUUGUCUAGUAGGUUUUCCAGUCCUUGCCGGAAAGGACCAGA